AGUGGGGAAUAUUGCACAAUGGGCGCAAGCCUGAUGCAGCGACGCCGCGUGCGGGAUGACGGCCUUCGGGUUGUAAACCGCUUUUGACUGGGAGCAAGCCCUUCGGGGUGAGUGUACCUUUCGAAUAAGCACCGGCUAACUACGUGCCAGCAGCCGCGGUAAUACGUAGGGUGCAAGCGUUAUCCGGAAUUAUUGGGCGUAAAGGGCUCGUAGGCGGUUCGUCGCGUCCGGUGUGAAAGUCCAUCGCUUAACGGUGGAUCCGCGCCGGGUACGGGCGGGCUUGAGUGCGGUAGGGGAGACUGGAAUUCCCGGUGUAACGGUGGAAUGUGUAGAUAUCGGGAAGAACACCAAUGGCGAAGGCAGGUCUCUGGGCCGUCACUGACGCUGAGGAGCGAAAGCGUGGGGAGCGAACAGGAUUAGAUACCCUGGUAGUCCACGCCGUAAACGGUGGAUGCUGGAUGUGGGGACCAUUCCACGGUCUCCGUGUCGGAGCCAACGCGUUAAGCAUCCCGCCUGGGGAGUACGGCCGCAAGGCUAAAACUCAAAGAAAUUGACGGGGGCCCGCACAAGCGGCGGAGCAUGCGGAUUAAUUCGAUGCAACGCGAAGAACCUUACCUGGGCUUGACAUGUUCCCGACAGCCGUAGAGAUACGGUCUCCCUUCGGGGCGGGUUCACAGGUGGUGCAUGGUCGUCGUCAGCUCGUGUCGUGAGAUGUUGGGUUAAGUCCCGCAACGAGCGCAACCCUCGCCCUGUGUUGCCAGCACGUCGUGGUGGGAACUCACGGGGGACCGCCGGGGUCAACUCGGAGGAAGGUGGGGAUGACGUCAGAUCAUCAUGCCCCUUACGUCCAGGGCUUCACGCAUGCUACAAUGGCCGGUACAACGGGAUGCGACCUCGUGAGGGGGAGCGGAUCCCUUAAAACCGGUCUCAGUUCGGAUUGGAGUCUGCAACCCGACUCCAUGAAGGCGGAGUCGCUAGUAAUCGCGGAUCAGCAACGCCGCGGUGAAUGCGUUCCCGGGCCUUGUACACACCGCCCGUCAAGUCAUGAAAGUGGGUAGCACCCGAAGCCGGUGGCCCAACCUUUUGGGGGGAGCCGUCUAAGGUGAGACUCGUGAUUGGGACUAAGUCGUAACAAGGUAGCCGUACCGGAAGGUGCGGCUG
rnacentral:rRNA from 1 species